rnacentral:tRNA from 1 species
AAGAAGACCAUGUUAGAACUGCUAACUCCAACACCUGAGAUUAACUCCUCAGACUUCUU